GCUCACAGUUUUUUUCUUUUUAAUACAAUAUUAAUUUCUUUAGAAUUAUUAUAUGUACAUUAUACUGUUUGACUAUAUCAACCAUAUUUCCUGGUUGAUUUGCCGAUUAUCUCAUAGUUCCCAAGUUUGACUAAUUUUUCAAACGUAUGUACAUACUGUUUCCUAGUGUCAAUUCUAGCAAAUAUAGCAUAGGGAAAAUUCUGAAUUGCAACCAACGGCAUCAAGUUAUAAUCAAUACCAUCUGUACCUCAAGAUUAUUUAUCCAUAUAUUUUUACAAAGGAGUUAGAUUUUCCACCAUAAAAGUGAUUGUGGCAUAAACAUAAAAGUAACUGUUCCACCCCCCCAUUUUAAUAUUGCAGAACAUUUCAGCUAAUAUUUUCAGGUUAGCAGAUCUUGUAGUCGCGAAUAAAUGCAUUUCCAAAACAGUAAAGAUGCACACUGGCAAUUGAUCAUCUUCAAACAACAUUGCUAACUUCUGAAGUGACUUGUUAUUAUAUAAGAAUUCACAAGUUUUUUCAAACAAUAUGCAGCAAAAAUUAAGGAGAGAGUAAAUACCCCUUUCUUUGUAGGAUA
rnacentral:lncRNA from 1 species